rnacentral:rRNA from 1 species
AUUGAACGCUGGCGGCAUGCUUUACACAUGCAAGUCGAACGGUAACAGGCCGCAAGGUGCUGACGAGUGGCGAACGGGUGAGUAAUGCAUCGGAACGUGCCCAGUCGUGGGGGAUAACUACUCGAAAGAGUAGCUAAUACCGCAUACGAUCUAUGGAUGAAAGCGGGGGACCGUAAGGCCUCGCGCGAUUGGAGCGGCCGAUGUCAGAUUAGGUAGUUGGUGGGGUAAAGGCUCACCAAGCCAACGAUCUGUAGCUGGUCUGAGAGGACAACCAGCCACACUGGGACUGAGACACGGCCCAGCCUCCUACGGGAGGCAGCAGUGGGGAAUUUUGGACAAUGGGCGCAAGCCUGAUCCAGCAAUGCCGCGUGCAGGAAGAAGGCCUUCGGGUUGUAAACUGCUUUUGUACGGAACGAAACGGCUCUGGUUAAUACCCGGGGCUAAUGACGGUACCGUAAGAAUAAGCACCGGCUAACUACGUG